rnacentral:lncRNA from 1 species
AAAUUGUCCUAUGACUUGUAUCUGGCUUCAGCUUGCCACUGUUUUGUGCACUUUGCCAUGUGAUCCAAUAACACACUUGCGCUUGUACAUGCAAAUGUAAGGCUCCAACAGUCGUGAGAAGGUACUACAAAUUCACAGCGGCAACUCCUCCCUGCUCAAACCUAAGACAGUUUCACAUGCCUAAAGCUUGUGUGGAAGAAAUGAAAGACAGUUGAAUCCCGAACUCCAGCAUACUUGGACUGAGAAAUUUGAGCAGGGAGAUUAACCAUGGCACCAUGGGCAGGAGUUUGGCCUUGUGAAAAUGAUCCUUCAAACAACCAUCUAUAACAUAUACAGAUCAACCUCAAAUUUGUCUCCUGAGGAUCCCCAUGAUGUGGUUGGUGCACCUUUUGUCCUGUGCUUCA